rnacentral:rRNA from 1 species
CAAACUGGAGAUGGCGACCGGCGCACGGGUGAGUAACACGUAUCCAACCUGCCGAUAACUCGGGGAUAGCCUUUCGAAAGAAGGAUUAAUACCCGAUGGCAUAAUAGAACCGCAUGGUUUGAUUAUUAAAGAAUUUCGGUUAUCGAUGGGGAUGCGUUCCAUUAGGCAGUUGGUGGGGUAACGGCCCACCAAACCUUCGAUGGAUAGGGGUUCUGAGAGGAAGGUCCCCCACAUUGGAACUGAGACACGGUCCAAACUCCUACGGGAGGCAGCAUG